UACAGAGGUCCCGAGCGUUGUUCGGAUUUAUUGGGCGUAAAGGGUGCGUAGGCGGCUGAGUAAGUUGGGUGUGAAAUCCCGGGGCUCAACCUCGGAAUUGCAUUCAAUACUGCUUCGCUCGAGUACUGGAGAGGAGGCUGGAAUUUACGGUGUAGCAGUGAAAUGCGUAGAUAUCGUAAGGAAGGCCGGUGGCGAAAGCGAGCCUCUGGACAGUUACUGACGCUGAUGCCCGAAGGCCAGGGGAGCAAACGGG
rnacentral:rRNA from 1 species